GGGCCUAUAGCUCAGUUGGUUAGAGCAUCGGACUCAUAACCCGCAGGUCACUGGUUCAAGCCCAGUUGGGCCCA
rnacentral:tRNA from 2 species